CCUACGGGAGGCAGCAGUGAGGAAUAUUGGUCAAUGGACGAGAGUCUGAACCAGCCAAGUAGCGUGAAGGAUGACUGCCCUAUGGGUUGUAAACUUCUUUUAUAUGGGAGUAAACUGUUCCACGUGUGGGAUUCUGUAUGUACCAUAUGAAUAAGGAUCGGCUAACUCCGUGCCAGCAGCCGCGGUAAUACGGAGGAUCCGAGCGUUAUCCGGAUUUAUUGGGUUUAAAGGGUGCGUAGGUGGAUUGUUAAGUUAGUUGUGAAAGUUUGCGGCUCAACCGUAAAAUUGCAGUUGAUACUGUCAGUCUUGAGUGUAGUAGAGGUGGGCGGAAUUCGUGGUGUAGCGGUGAAAUGCUUAGAGAUCACGCAGAACUCCGAUUGCGAAGGCAGCUCACUGGGCUGCAACUGACAUUGAGGCUCGAAAGUGUGGGUAUCAAACAGGAUUAGAUACCCUUGUAGUC
rnacentral:rRNA from 1 species